CUUCGAAUGCAUUAUGCAGUUUGCGUGUUACUAUAUAUAGUUAAGGCCGCUGAGGCAACAACAGUCUCAGAAAAUCCACUACCGAAGUAGAAUCUGAUAAUUCAAGAUGAAAUUCUUCAACCUCUUUUUCAUUGUCGUCCUUGCCCUUGUGGCCCUCCAACAGACCGCCAAUGCUUGCAUUGCCAACCGUAAUGGUUGCCAACCUGACGGCAGCCAAGGAAACUGUUGCUCAGGAUAUUGCCACAAAGAACCUGGAUGGGUUGCUGGAUACUGCAGAUAAAGGGAAAUUGGACGCAGAACAGAUAUGGUGUAAAUUGAACGAAUUGGUGAAGUUUUGUUAUUGGGCUUAAGUUUGUUAUUGAUUAUUUCCAUUUUAGAAAAAAAAAUAAAAAAAAUCAAUGUCGCA